AUGCAUACUGUCAAUUGUGAUGGCCUGGACCAUCAGAGGUUCAACUUUAUAUAUCCAUGCCACAGAAAAAACAGGACAUGUCGCCUGAAUAUGCCUUGGAAGGAGGCAUUUUUCUCUGUCAAGUCCGACACAUAUAGCUAUGGGAUCUUGUUACUGGAGAUUGCCAGGCCACUCAUGUCGAUAGUCGUGUUUAUGCUGGACAAUGAGGCCGUGCCACUCACAACACCAGAGCAGCCUUUGUAUUUUGUUGGAAGGAGGCAUGAAGCGGAAGAAGCAGGGGAGGACUCUGUUAACAACGCAAGCCUGGCGACGCUAGCAGGGCGCUAG
rnacentral:rRNA from 1 species